UACGUAGGGAGCAAGCGUUGUCCGGAAUUACUGGGCGUAAAGGGUGCGUAGGCGGUUUGUCAAGUCGAAUGUGAAAUACCGGGGCUUAACCUCGGGGCUGCAUUCGAAACUGGCAGACUUGAGUGCAGGAGAGGAAAGCGGAAUUCCUAGUGUAGCGGUGAAAUGCGUAGAUAUUAGGAGGAACACCGGUGGCGAAGGCGGCUUUCUGGACUGUAACUGACGCUGAGGCACGAAAGCGUGGGGAGCAA
rnacentral:rRNA from 1 species